AACCAGUGAUUGUGCAAAAUGUUCUUGCACAUACAAGUGGUUUAAGCUGGGAACCAAUGGUUAUGUGGCGUGCAUUGUGUGAGGGCACUGAUUCCAAGAUCCUUACAAGUAUGUCGGAAGUGAAAGCUAUCGACUGUCUGGCCAAUUGUCAGGUUCCGAUCAAUACUCGAAAAUUUUUUAAAGGUUAUACGGAAGGCAGAAGGUAUGAAAAUCUUUGGCCUGAAAUGCUCAAACUUAAAG
rnacentral:misc_RNA from 1 species